rnacentral:lncRNA from 1 species
AGAUUACCUACGAAAACCUCAUGAGACAUUAGACAAAACUGAUCAUUUAAAGCUCUCAUUUUGCUGACGAAUUUCUAACAGACAACAUGAGCUUAUUUGACUUUUAAACCCAGGCUUGCAUGCCUGCAUCAUAUGCAAAUAGCAACAACUCUUGAGGGCAUGCCUUUUCAAUCAAACCAACAACUUAAACUUUAACCAAAGAUUAAUCUAUGUCGUGUUAACUUGAAAGACAUUUGGGUUAAAACUUUUUAGAGAAACUUUUUGUAAGUGCUUACCUUAAGUCAAUUGAAUGGAGCUCUUUAGAAAUUGUACCAUCCGGAGGUAAAAUAUAAAAACUUUUGUAACAUAUAUAGACACACACAGACAGACAGACAUAUAGACAAAGAUUUUCCUUAGAUUUGACUUAGGUGUUCUCAUAGCAGACCACCGUGAAAAAACUUGUUUUCCCAGUUUUUUCCUCUUUCUUAUCCUUUCUUUUGGUCUUAGCAAUCUGGCUUGGGAUCCCCCUUUGUUAAGCAAUUGCAAUCACAGCAUGAAGCCAACUGGAGUCUGGAGGAAAGGCUGCAAAUUCAGGAACUGAUUUGGGCCAUUUCAGAAGCUCGAUUUCCCGCUUCUCUUUUAAUAUUGUUUUGUUAUAAAGUCUGAACAACUUCUAAGCAAGCAGUUUGUUCAGACUUUAUAAACACAAUUCUUUCCAAUUUAAAGCCAAAUUAAAAAUGUCAGCCUUCCCCAUUCACUCCCAAGUUCCUCUAGGCUCCUCUGGCCUAGGAACUUCCCUCUAGGCUCCCUCUGGCCUAGCAAAUUCCUCCUAGGUUCCUCUUACCUAGGGAACCUAGGAGGAAUUUGCUAGGCCAGAGGGAGCCUAGAGGGAAGUUCCUAGGCCAGAGGAGCCUAGAGGAACUUGGGAGUGAAUGGGGAAGGCUGACAUUUUUAAUUUGGCUUUAAAUUGGAAAGAAUUGUGUUUAUAAAGUCUGAACAAACUGCUUGCUUAGAAGUUGUUCAGACUUUAUAACAAAACAAUAUUAAAAGAGAAGCGGGAAAUCGAGCUUCUGAAAUGGCCCAAAUCAGUUCCUGAAUUUGCAGCCUUUCCUCCAGACUCCAGUUGGCUUCAUGCUGUGAUUGCAAUUGCUUAACAAAGGGGGAUCCCAAGCCAGAUUGCUAAGACCAAAAGAAAGGAUAAGAAAGAGGAAAAAACUGGGAAAACAAGUUUUUUCACGGUGGUCUGCUAUGAGAACACCUAAGUCAAAUCUAAGGAAAAUCUUUGUCUAUAUGUCUGUCUGUCUGUGUGUGUCUAUAUAUGUUACAAAAGUUUUUAUAUUUUACCUCCGGAUGGUACAAUUUCUAAAGAGCUCCAUUCAAUUGACUUAAGGUAAGCACUUACAAAAAGUUUCUCUAAAAAGUUUUAACCCAAAUGUCUUUCAAGUU